rnacentral:lncRNA from 1 species
GUUAUUGUUUUUUUUUUUGCUCUACAACGUUUUUACCUUUUCCCUUAGGUAACUUGUUCACAUUUAUUUAUAAGCUAUGAUUCAAAUGUAUAUACUUUACUUUAGUGGUAAAAAUGUAUAAUAUUUAUAUUACUCCGUGUCCAACACCCCUAAACCUAAUAUAGACUACCUUAAAUUAGUAUAGUUUCUAACAUAACGGCGUAAAAUCCAUGAUUAAUUAAUUUGGAUUUAGGUCGAUCAGUGGUUUCCUUAGCCCAAAAAAAAAAAAAAAAAACGAAUGUGACCAAAAGUAAAUAAACACGAAGAGAACCAUAAGUCAACAUCUUUCCAAUCACAAUCUCUCACUCUUUGAUGUGCCCAUAUUUCUUGCUGUCAGCAAUUUACAACCUUCUCUUUUUCAUUCCAUCACCCAUCAACUACAAAAAUAC